CCUACGGGAGGCAGCAGUAAGGAAUAUUGGACAAUGGGCGCAAGCCUGAUCCAGCCAUGCCGCGUGCAGGAUGAAGGUGCUCUGCAUUGUAAACUGCUUUUGUUUGGGAAUAAACCCUUCUACGUGUAGAGGGCUGAAUGUACCAAAAGAAUAAGGGACGGCUAACUUCGUGCCAGCAGCCGCGGUAAUACGAAGGUCCCAAGCGUUAUCCGGAUUUAUUGGGUUUAAAGGUGCGUAGGCGGGUUAUUAAGUCAGUGGUGAAAGCCUACAGCUUAACUGUAGAAUUGCCAUUGAUACUGAUGAUCUUGAGUAUGAUUGAGGUGGCGGAAUGUGUCAUGUAGCGGUGAAAUGCUUAGAUAUGACACAGAACACCGAUUGCGAAGGCAGCUCACUAAGUCAUGACUGACGCUGAUGCACGAAAGCGUGGGGAGCAAACAGGAUUAGAUACCCUGGUAGUCCACGCCCUAAACGNUGAUCACUCGAUGUGUGCGAGUACACGUAGUACGCGUCGUGUAAGAGAAGACGAGUUAAGUUAG
rnacentral:rRNA from 1 species